UUGCUCAGGUUUUCCCAUGAGAUGUUCUGGAAAAACCCGAAUGAACUUUUGGGCCAAGCCAA
ensembl:miRNA